CCUACGGGAGGCAGCAGUGAGGAAUAUUGCUCAAUGGACGAAAGUCUGAAGCAGCGACGCCGCGUGAGGGAUGAAGUCCGUUUGGAUGUAAACCUCUUUUGCAGAAGAAGAAUGUUUCGAUUUCUCGAAAUUGACGGUAUUUUGCGAAUAAGCACCGGCUAACUACGUGCCAGCAGCCGCGGUAAUACGUAGGGUGCGAGCGUUGUCCGGAAUUACUGGGUGUAAAGGGUCCGCAGGCGGGCGAGUAAGUCUGUGGUGAAAUUUUACGGCUUAACCGUAAAAUUGCCACGGAAACUGCUUGCCUUGAGUGUGAAAGAGGAAGAUGGAAUUCAUGGUGUAGCAGUGAAAUGCGUAGAUAUCAUGAAGAACACCGGUAGCGAAGGCGAUCUUCUGGUUCACAACUGACGCUCAGGGACGAAAGCGUGGGGAGCAAACAGGAUUAGAUACCCUGGUAGUCCACGCCCUAAACCAUAGGAUACUCGAUGUCGGAUCGAAAGAUUCGGNGUCUGAGCAAACGCAAUAAGUAUCCCACCUGGGGAAGUACGAUCGCAAAGGUUGAAACUCAAAAGUAUAGUAGGCGUGAGAGUGCCGACGGAGACCGACGACGGAGGAGG
rnacentral:rRNA from 1 species